UACGAAGGGGGCUAGCGUUGCUCGGAAUGACUGGGCGUAAAGGGCGCGUAGGCGGCUUACAUAGUCAGGCGUGAAAUUCCUGGGCUCAACCUGGGGGCUGCGUUUGAUACGUGUAGGCUUGAGUUCGGAAGAGGGUCGUGGAAUUCCCAGUGUAGAGGUGAAAUUCGUAGAUAUUGGGAAGAACACCGGUGGCGAAGGCGGCGACCUGGUCCGAUACUGACGCUGAGGCGCGAAAGCGUGGGGAGCAAACAGG
rnacentral:rRNA from 1 species